rnacentral:rRNA from 1 species
AUUGAACGCUGGCGGCAUGCUUUACACAUGCAAGUCGAACGGUAACAGGUUAAGCUGACGAGUGGCGAACGGGUGAGUAAUGCAUCGGAACGCGCCCGGUCGUGGGGGAUAACGCAGCGAAAGCUGCGCUAAUACCGCAUACGAUCUGAGGAUGAAAGCGGGGGACCGUAAGGACUCGCGCGAUCGGAGCGGCCGAUGUCAGGUUAGGUAGUUGGUGGGGUAAAGGCUCACCAAGCCAACGAUCUGUAGCUGGUCUGGGAGGACGACCAGCCACACUGGGACUGAGACACGGCCCAGACUCCUACGGGAGGCAGCAGUGGGGAAUUUUGGACAAUGGGCGAAAGCCUGAUCCAGCAAUGCCGCGUGCAGGAAGAAGGCCUUCGGGUUGUAAACUGCUUUUGUACGGAGCGAAAAGGUCUCCUCUAAUACAGGGGGCUCAUGACGGUACCGUAAGAAUAAGCACCGGCUAACUACGUGCCAGCCGCCGCCGUAA